GGAAUCCGGUGCAAGUCCGGGACGGUCCCGCCACUGUGAACCCCGCCUUGAGCGCGUGGGUGAGUCAGGAAC
rnacentral:ncRNA from 2 species